AUUGAACGCUGGCGGCAGGCUUAACACAUGCAAGUCGAGCGGAGCGAGGGUGCUUGCACCUUAGCUUAGCGGCGGACGGGUGAGUAAUGCUUAGGAAUCUGCCUAUUAGUGGGGGACAACAUUCCGAAAGGGAUGCUAAUACCGCAUACGCCCUACGGGGGAAAGCCGGGGAUAUUCGGACCUUGCGCUAAUAGAGGAGCCUAAGUCGGAUUAGCUAGUUGGUGGGGUAAAGGCCUACCAAGGCGACGAUCUGUAGCGGGUCUGAGAGGAUGAUCCGCCACACUGGGACUGAGACACGGCCCAGACUCCUACGGGAGGCAGCAGUGGGGAAUAUUGGACAAUGGGCGGAAGCCUGAUCCAGCCAUGCCGCGUGUGUGAAGAAGGCCUUUUGGUUGUAAAGCACUUUAAGCGAGGAGGAGGCUACUAGUAUUAAUACUACUGGAUAGUGGACGUUACUCGCAGAAUAAGCACCGGCUAACUCUGUGCCAGCAGCCGCAGUAACAC
rnacentral:rRNA from 1 species